CUCUUGAACAACUUCUCGCUCAACAACCAAAUCUUAAAAGAGUACACAGUCAACGUCACCACAGACUCCUUAACGUUGACUUUCAUCCCUUCGAACAGUUACUGUUAAUUAAUUUUAUGAUUUCGAUUAUGAAAUCUACACCAAGACCUAAUCUAGAUUUGAUUUAAUUCAACCCUAACACAUUUCUAAAGAAGGUAGAAGCACUAACCUUGAUCCAUGCUUAGAUGCAAUUCCACCAAUUGAUCUUCUCCUCUUUAACCUUCUCCUUUUUGGUGAUUUCCUUGAUGGACAAGAAAUCCCAAACCUUCCUUAAUCUCUCCUUUUGAUAAAUAUUAUUGUUGUGUUGUGUUUUAGAGAGACUCGUAAGAAUACGUAUCUCCAACACAUGAUGAAUGAGUCACUUUUAUAUUAAUCAAAGGGUGUGUCUUAACCAACACACCUCUUCCACACAACACUUUGAUAUUAACCGCACAAGUGCAUUAUAAUAUAUCAUCAUAUAUAUUUGACCUUAUGGUAAUAUAUUCCAUUAUUAUUACCUUUUACAUAUAUGAUCAUGAGAUUAAGGACAUUUAUAAAUAUAAGGUAAAGUAGGAGGGUUAUCAAUACACCCGGAUUCUAACUCUUUAAUAGAAACCGAUCCAUCACGGUAUCGCCUUUUAUAUUAGAAUCUAAAACAUUAAUAUGAACUUGAACUUUAUAUUAAACCAAUAGAAACAUAGGUCAUAUAGAAUAUAAAAUAUUCUUACAUUCUCCCACUUGACCUUUGUGUCGACUUAAGGGUUUAAUAACUUUAAUGUGCACUUUAAUAUCAAGUUCACUUGAUCUUUACUAAAAUUAAAACUGAUCGAAUCAUGGCGGUUGUAUGUCAUUUAAUCGGCAUAGUCCCUUCCAUGUACCACAAACCAAUUCUAACUUUAUAUUAUCCUUACAUGAGAAGAACCUUUAUUUCUCAAACCAACUAUAUGUUAUCUACGAACCAUAAGUGUAUACAUAUACUUUAAUGAUAACAUAAUUAAUAAAUCAGAAACAUAACUUUAUGUGAAUUCUCAGUGUCAAAUACAUAAUGAGCAUCCCAUAACUAAAAUAGCAAAGCCUUAUCUAUAAUACCCAUACGUUCUACAUGGCCAUUGAACGCCUUGGGUGGUAAACCUUUAGUUAGCGGAUCCGCUACCAUCAUGUCCGUCUUUAUGUGCUCGAAUGACACUCUCUGUUUCUGAACUUCUUCUUUAACAGACAGGUACUUUAACUCCAUGUUCUUAGCACCCUUCGAGUACUUGUCGUUCUUCGAAAAGAAGACAGCUGCAGAAUUAUCGCAGUAAAUUCUCAGCGGCUUGGCUAUAGUGUCGACAAUCCGAAGCCCUGAGAUAAAGUUCCGCAGCCAUAGUGCAUGAAUUGUGGCCUCAAAGCAUGCCACAAAUUCAGCCUCCAUAGUGGAAGUAGCAAUGACAGACUGCUUUCCACUCUUCCAUGAUAUUGCUCCCCCAGCUAAUAGGAACAAGUAGCCCAACGUCGAUUUUCUGCUAUCAACGCAUCCGGCAUAGUCUGAAUCUGAAUAUCCAAUGACUUCCAGCUGAUCAGAUCUCCUAUAUGUAAGCAUGCUCUCUUUGGUGCCUUGCAAGUACCUGAGAACCUUCUUUGCAGCUUUCCAGUGGUCCAUUCCGGGAUUACUUUGAUAUCGACCCAACAUUCCAACAGCAAAGUUGAUAUCAGGUCGAGUACAUGUUUGAACAUAGUUCAAACUCCCAACCACCGAUGCAUAGGGAAUUCUUUCCAUUUCUUUACGCUCCAAUUCAUUUUUAGGACAUUGCAUUUUACUGAACUUGUCCCCCUUCUGAAUUGGAGUUAUUCCUGCAGAGCAUUUCUCCAUUUUAUAUCUCUUUAAGAUCUUAUUGAUAUAUCCUUCCUGAGACAAACUUAACAGUCCUUGUGAUCUAUCUCGAAAUAUUUCUAUCCCGAUCACAUAAGAUGCCUCACCCAUAUCUUUCAUUUCAAAGUUCUUAGAGAGAUACUUCUUCACAUCAUGUAACAUACCCAUGUCAUUUGCAGCAAGUAAAAUAUCAUCAACAUAUAGGACUAAAAUCACAAACUUACUCCCACUGAUCUUAAUGUAGAUACAUCGAUCAACAAUGAUCUCUACAAAACCAUAUGAAGUGAUGGUAUCAUUAAACUUUAUAUACCAUUGUCGAGAAGCUUGUUUUAGUCCAUAUAUUGACCUUCUCAGCUUACACACCAAAUUUUCUUUUCCUGCGACCACGAAUCCUUCAGGUUGGUCCAUAUAUACUUCCUCCUCAAGAUCUCCAUUCAGAAAGGCGGUUUUCACAUCCAUCUGGUGAAGCUCAAGAUCAUAAUGAGUCACCAAAGCCAAAACAAUUCUAAGAGAAUCCUUCUUUGAAACCGGAGAGAAGGUCUCUUUAUAGUCAAUGCCAUCUUUCUGGGUGAAACCUUUAGCAACAAGGCGAGACUUGCGUCUUUCAGGUUUACCUUUCGAGUCAUGUUUAGUCUUAUAGACCCAUUUACAACCAAUGGUUUUGAAACCAUCAGGCAACUCUACUAAGUCCCAUACAUGAUUAUCAUCCAUAGAUUUCAUUUCUUCUUUUGAGGCAUCAAACCACUCUUCAGAAUUGUCACUUUCCAUGGCCAUUUUGAAUGAGAUCGGAUCGUCAUCGAUGCUUAUGUCACAUUCAUUUUCAAUAGUGUAAACCACGUAAUCGUUUGAAAUAGCGGAUCUUCUUUCUCUUCCAGAUCGCCUUAAAGGUAUUUGUGGUUCACUAUUCUCUUCUUGAAUUAUGACAUGUUCAUCAACAGUAUUUUCAGCUAGUAGGAUUGGCUCAUCAUUAUGUUGUCCUAUUGUGUCAUUAGAGUCUGAUGCAACAAUAGGAACAACUACUUCAGGUGGAACUACAGGUGAAGGAACUUCAACCUGAAUUUCAUUAAUGUCCACUUUUCGUGGUUCACCACUCCCACUAGUUUCACCGUUUUCAAUGAACCUAGCAUUACCCGAAUCAACUAUUCUCGUACUAUGGUUAGGACAAUAAAAUGUAUACCCCUUUGAUUUUUCAGGAUAGCCAAUGAAAAAUCCACUGACAGUCCUAGAAUCAAGUUUCUUUUCAUGUGGAUUAUAUAGCCUUACUUCUGCUGGACAACCCCACACACGUAGAUGUCUUAAACUAGGUUUCUUUCCCGUCCACAGCUCAUAAGGAGUCUUAGGAACUGCCUUACUAGGAACCCGGUUCAGCAAAUAUGUUGCAGUUCUUAAUGCAUAUAUCCACAAAGAAAGGGGUAAUGAGCAAUUACUCAACAUGCUCCUAACCAUCUCUAUUAAGGUACGGUUCCGCCUCUCAGCUACACCGUUUUGCUGAGGAGUACCAGGCAUUGUGUAUUGCGCACAUAUGCCUCUACUUUCAAGUAACUUUGCAAAUGGACCAGGACAUUGUCCACUUUCAUCGAAUUUUCCAUAAAAUUCACCACCUCUGUCAGAUCUCACUAUUUUAACCUUUUUAUCUAACUGCCUUUCCACCUCAUCAAUGAAUAUUUCUAGAACAUUCACAGACUUAGACUUUUCAUGCAGUAGAUAGGUAUAUCCAUACCGUGAGUAAUCAUCAAUAAAUGUGAUGAAAUAUUUUUCGCCACUCCAUGAUGGAGCAUCAAAAGGGCCACAUAUAUCGGUGUGUAUUAACUCAAGAAGUUGAGUGCUUCUUGUGGCUGGUUUCUUUAAAGUAUGUUUCGUCUGCUUUCCCUUAAUGCAGUCUAUGCAUACAUCUAAGUCACUGAAAUCCAACUGAGGAAGAAUUUCAUUCUUUAUUAACCUCUUAAUUCUUUCUUUGGAAAUAUGACCUAGUCGUUGAUGCCACAAGAAAGCAGAACUUUCAUUAAUUGCGCUACGCUUAAUGCCUCGACUUUCAACAUUAAAUAGGGAUUCAGAAAACUUUGCAUCAAGGUUGAACUUAUAAAGUGAAUCAAAUAAAAUACCACUACCAUAAAAGUAAUCAUUUCGGUACAAUGUGAAAACACCAUGUGCAACCUUAAUACUAAAACCUAAAUUGUCCAACCUACUAACAGAAACAAGAUUUCUAGCACACUCAGGUACAUAGAGACACCCUUCAAGAUCCACAUGACUUCCAGUGUCCAAGAUCAAUCUAUACGUCCCAAUUCCUUCUAUUUGUGCCUUCAUCCUGUUUCCCAUGAACAAGUACUGUUCAGGUCCUCUUAUGGGUUGGAUCGAACUGAAUCCCUGUUUAAUAUGAGACACGUGAGUAGUAGCACCAGAAUCUAACCACCAAGUAUUAUUAGGAACUUCAACAAGAUUCAUUUCAUAGCAAACAAAGCUGUAAUGUUUACCUUUCUUGUCGAACCAAUCCUUCCUUUUAGGACAAUCCUUCUUGAAGUGUCCUACUUGCUUACAAAAGAAACACUUCUUUUCCUUCUGGAUUUGACUUUGAGGUCCUUUCACGAAGUUUUUAGCAUUCCUUUUGCCUUUCCUACUUGAUGUUCUUUUGCUGCUACUGGCACUUCCAAGACCUACGAGGUUAGCAACUUGUUCUUUCAUCUUCCUUAGUCUCCCCUCUUCUUGAAUUAGCAUAGCCUUUAAUUCCUUAAAGUUCCAUUUAUCCUUAAUGGUGUUGUAAUUCACCUGGAACUGGCUAAAUUCAAGGGGUAGAGAGUUCAUGAUGAAUUGGACCAAGAAUUGCUCAUGUACCUCCAUUCCCAAGGUCAUUAACUUUGCUGCCAGAUUAGACAUAUGCGUCAAAUGAUCAUGGAUUGGCUGAGACCAGUCAAACUUCUUUGUAGUUAGCUCAUUCAUGAGACUUCCUACAAUCGACUUGUCAGCCAAUUCAGAUUCUGAACACUCCUUAAUUUUCUCUAGGAAUUCCCUUGCUUUCUCUGUCUUAGGCAUUGAUGGUUUAAUACUUUCUGCCAUCGUCAACCUCAUAAGGUUCAAGCUCAGCCUGUUAGAUCGCUCCCAUCUCUCAUAACGAGACUUUUCAGAUUCGGAGCUAUCUACUGUAAUAGCUGAGGGUUCCUCAUCAGUUAGUAUGGCAGAGUCCAAAGCCAUUACACCCAGUGUAAACCGGAUUUGCUCGAACCACUCACCAUAGUUGAGGCCAUUAAACUUUACCACAGAGUUAGCAGAUGCAAACACAUUUGAUGUAGCUGCAAGCAUUCAUACAUGUUUACCCGUUAGUGCUUUGAAACUUUAAUAUAUAUUCAGACUAAUAGAAACUUUAACACUUGUAUUUUAAAUAACCUUUGGGCAAUAUUUAAAUACAAGUACUUUCAGUGAUGCUAGUAAUAAAUACUUUAAUAUUAAUCAAAUCAAACACUAAUCAAAUAAGUAUGUUAUCUUUGGAUAUACAUAUUAUCGACUAUAGUAAGAAAUGAUUAAUUCUUUUAUUAUUAUUAAUCAUAUUCAAUGAUCCACCUUUGGGUGAUCUCCUAGAAUAUAAAUAAUAAAUUAAUUGAUUGAUCAAAUUUUUAUGUCAUUUAGCAUCCUUGAUCUUGAUCAAUUAUAAACUCUAUAAUUAUUUUUAAUAUUUAUAUGUCAUAUAACAAGGUCACUUUGGCGACUAUCAUAUUAUAUACAUAUAAACAUUAAAAUAUCUAAGGGAAAACUACUUAAAUUGUGUUAAUAUUUCAUAACACAAUUACUUGAUCAUUAAAAUGCAGCGGAAGCAUUUUUUUUUUUUUAUAACUAUAAUAAAAUAAACUUCAGUUAAGUAUAUAUUUAUUCAUGCCUUUUCGUGACAUGUUCAAUGUUACUGGCGAGCGAACCAUUAACCGAAACAUGACAACAACAACUUAAUGCAUCUUGUUUAAUUUAAAUAUUCAUUUAGUUUGAUAGAUAAUUCACGUGUAUACAACACACUAAAUGAAUUGCCAUAUGCUAACGUCAUGCAUAUGAAAUUCCAGACACGUAAAGCUUAUGGCAUCGUAAAUCAUUACGAGAAUAACGUACUUGAUCUUCUGAUACCAAAUCAUUAUAUACAUUCUUUUCUCUUACGAUGCCUUACUUUAAGGCCAAAUUAAUUACUGUGAUUUAAAACAAAUCUCAUGAACACUCUUUAAAACGGUUGAUACCGUAUAUGUUCAUGAACAAAAAAAAAAAAAAAAUUUAUUCUAGAUUAAAAAAAAUUAAUUUAUGCAUGUGCCUUAAUGAUUACAACCGUAAACACUACCGCAUGAUGCAAAAGACAAACUCACGAAUGCACAUGUUGACAAAAUUCCAGAAUCACUUAAUCAUGCAUGCUACGUUAGUUACUUCUAAACAAUUACGAACAAACGCGACUUUCUAAUGCAUUCCAGAAUUUCUAACGCAAUGACGAUCAUGAACACACGCUUGAGAAUUACCGAUACGUUUAAGUGUUUGACGCCAUACGUUCAGUAACGGUGAAUUAAACAAAUCUAGUUGGCUCUGAUACCACAUGUUAAUUAAUUUUAUGAUUUCGAUUAUGAAAUCUACACCAAGACCUAAUCUAGAUUUGAUUUAAUUCAACCCUAACACAUUUCUAAAGAAGGUAGAAGCACUAACCUUGAUCCAUGCUUAGAUGCAAUUCCACCAAUUGAUCUUCUCCUCUUUAACCUUCUCCUUUUUGGUGAUUUCCUUGAUGGACAAGAAAUCCCAAACCUUCCUUAAUCUCUCCUUUUGAUAAAUAUUAUUGUUGUGUUGUGUUUUAGAGAGACUCGUAAGAAUACGUAUCUCCAACACAUGAUGAAUGAGUCACUUUUAUAUUAAUCAAAGGGUGUGUCUUAACCAACACACCUCUUCCACACAACACUUUGAUAUUAACCGCAC
rnacentral:lncRNA from 1 species